GGACUACCAGGGUAUCUAAUCCUGUUUGCUACCCACGCUUUCGUGUCUCAGCGUCAGUUACGGUCCAGAGAGCCGUCUGCACCACCGGUGUUCCUCCUGAUAUCUACGCAUUUCACCGCUACACCAGGAAUUCCACUCUCCUCUCCCGCACUCUAGCCCUUCAGUAUUCGGCGCACCCUCCCAGUUGAGCCGGGAGAUUUCACACCAAACUUAAAAGGCCGCCUACACACCCUUUACGCCCAGUAACUCCGAACAACGCUUGCUGCCUACGUAUUACCGCGGCUGCUGGCAC
rnacentral:rRNA from 1 species